rnacentral:misc_RNA from 1 species
UUGACAUUUGUUUUUACAGACAAAAAAGACUUGAUGAAGCAUAAAGGCGGCGCCUCUCGACGCCGAAGCACAUCUUGUGUCCACAGUGGUUUGAGGGUAAGAAGAUCAAGGAUGACCAUUCGUUAAUGAUCCCUCCGCAGGUUCACCUACGGAGA